rnacentral:rRNA from 1 species
UACGGAGGGAGCUAGCGUUAUUCGGAAUUACUGGGCGUAAAGCGCACGUAGGCGGCUUUGUAAGUAAGAGGUGGAAAGCCCAGAGCUCAACUCUGGAAUUGCCUUUUAGACUGCAUCGCUUGAAUCAUGGAGAGGUCAGUGGAAUUCCGAGUGUAGAGGUGAAAUUCGUAGAUAUUCGGAAGAACACCAGUGGCGAAGGCGGCUGACUGGACAUGUAUUGACGCUGAGGUGCGAAAGCGUGGGAGCAACAGG